GUCUGUCUGAACUGAUACAUAUCUCUGGGUUAGGGUGGUAGAGGGCUGACAGCAGAGGUGUCUGUCUGAACUGAUACAUAUCUCUGGGUUAGGGUGGUAGAGGGCUGACAGCAGAGGUGUCUGUCUGAACUGAUAAAUAUCUGUGGGUUAGGGUGGUAGAGGGCUGACAGCAGAGGUGUCUGUCUGAACUGAUAAAUAUCUCUGGGUUAGGGUGGUAGAGGGCUGACAGCAAAGGUGUCUGUCUGAACUGAUUAAUAUCUGUGGGUUAGGGUGGAUAGAUGGCUGACAGCAGAGGUGUCUGUCUGAACUGAUAAAUAUCUGUGGGUUAGGGUGGUAGAGGGCUGACAGCAGAGGUGUCUGUCUGAACUGAUAAAUAUCUCUGGGUUAGGGUGGUAGAGGGCUGACAGCAGAGGUGUCUGUCUGAACUGAUACAUAUCUCUGGGUUAGGGUGGUAGAGGGCUGACAGCAAAG
ensembl:lncRNA